rnacentral:rRNA from 1 species
UACGGGGGGGAGCAAGCGUUGUUCGGAUUUACUGGGCGUAAAGGGCGCGUAGGCGGUCAGCACAAGUCAGUUGUGAAAUCUCCGGGCUUAACUCGGAAAGGUCAACUGAUACUGUGCGACUAGAGUGCAGAAGGGGCAACUGGAAUUCUCGGUGUAGCGGUGAAAUGCGCAGAUAUCAGGAGGAACACCGGUGGCGAAGGCGGUUCUCUGGGCAUGUCCUGACGCUGAGGAGCGAAAGCGUGGGGAGCGAACAGG